rnacentral:rRNA from 1 species
CAGUCGCCGCGGGAAUACGUAGGGUGCAAGCGUUAAUCGGAAUUACUGGGCGUAAAGCGUGCGCAGGCGGUCCGCUAAGACAGAUGUGAAAUCCCCGGGCUUAACCUGGGAACUGCAUUUGUGACUGGCGGGCUAGAGUAUGGCAGAGGGGGGUAGAAUUCCACGUGUAGCAGUGAAAUGCGUAGAGAUGUCGAGGAAUACCGAUGGCGAAGGCAGCCCCCUGGGCCAAUACUGACGCUCAUGCACGAAAGCGUGGGGAGCAAACAGGAUUAGAUACCCGAGUAGUCCCUGUCUCUUAUAC